rnacentral:rRNA from 1 species
UAGUAUGGGGAUCUGCCCGAUAGAGGGGGAUAACUACUGGAAACGGUGGCUAAUACCGCAUAAUGUCUACGGACCAAAGCAGGGGCUCUUCGGACCUUGCACUAUCGGAUGAACCCAUAUGGGAUUAGCUAGUAGGUGAGGUAAAGGCUCACCUAGGCGACGAUCUCUAGCUGGUCUGAGAGGAUGAUCAGCCACACUGGGACUGAGACACGGCCCAG